GAGGGUAUAGCUCAGUGGUAGAGUGCAUGCUUAGCAUGCACGAGGUCCUAGGUUCAAUCCCCAGUGCCUCCU
rnacentral:tRNA from 1 species